GGGGGACCGAACCCACAACGCAGACAUGUGCCCUGCCCAGGAAUCGGGCCUGCAACCUUUCGCUGUGCAGUCAUCCAACCUUCUAAGCCACACUGGUCAGGGCCCUUUACAAAAUUUUUAGAAUGUAUAGUAAAAAGAUUAAACAAGGACAGAAUUAUUGGCAAGCUAAGGAAUGAAUAUUGCAUUUCUAUUUUUAAGAAAAAUCACUAUAUUUAUAUUUGUAAUUUCUGCAUUCUCACCAUCAUUACUCCACACUAGGUGCUGCCGGUCACCUAAACUGUGGCACAAGUGUCCUUAUUCUUUUUUCUACAUCAGGCUUUCUUCACCUUCUCCCAUCUCCAGUGGAUCAAUAUAGGACGUAGAUGCCAGACAAUCUUCCUAAAGUAGAGUUAUGGUUGUGUUUACUUUCUUCAAACUUAGAUCCCUGCUUCUCAGACUUCAACAUUUAUACAGAUCACUUGGGGACCUUCUUGAAACACAGAUUCAGAUUGUGUAGGCUAUUGGUGGUGCCAGAGAAUGUGCAUUUGAGCAAGCUCCCAAGUACUGCCCAUGCCACUGCACUGAGCGCCACACUUGGAGUCAAGAGAGGCUGCUCUGGUUUUCUCAAGGUCUGCUGUGGUCUCCCCCUGGUCUUUCUGAUGAAAAGAUUGCACAAAGCCAAUCUCUGUUCACCACAGAUGACUCCAUACCUUUGCUCUUGCGACUCUUCUAACCAGGAAGUCACUUCAAGCCAGUUAACAUAAAGUACCUUGUGUUCUACGUACCUUGUCACAACCUGAGAAGUGAUGAACAAGAUGCAAUUCUUACAGUACUCCUCAUUGACAAUUUGUGUGGCUUGGCCUGCACUAGAGAUGUAGUUAACAGUAGUAAAGGAACCUGAAGAUUUUCCAUUUCCUGGUCAUGACAGGCUUCUCCUGAGGCCAUUAUUUGGGUUGGGUCUUGAAGGAUAAAGAGAAUUCAUGAGAAAAGGAAGAGAGCUCUAAGCAGAAGACAGAGGCUUGUGGAAGAGCACAGUGUAUUAAAAAAUCAGCUCUGUUUGGUGGGAAAUAAGAUGGAAACAUGUGAGUUAGUUAUGAAGGAUUCUGUCUGACAUACCAAAGAGUGUGUUUAGACAUUGCCUGUUGCUUUUAAGUAGAAGAUCAUGUCUUCUGUACUGGUUCCUAAUGAUAAGAACCUGGUGGUAAGGGUAAUUUCCUCCAUUUUCAUAUUUGUGUGCCUAUAAUAGAUCAAUAAUUAUCCAUCAAAUGAUCCAGUUUGGGUUUCUUUUUUUGUUCUUUGGUUUCCAAAAACAAAGGUAUAUGAGGAUGAUUACAAAGGACAGAGAAGCUCAAGGCAGGAAUGCCAAAUUAAAGGCAGUUGCAAUGGUUCACACGCCAGAUGAUGAAUAAAGGGAUCAGUUGCUGCCUGUGGGGAGAAGGAGAGGGUAGCCACCAUCUUUCCUUUACUCUUUGCAAAGUCACAGAUUGUAUUUAAGGCCCAACCUGACAGGUGCUCCCUCCAUAAAGCCUUCCUGCUUCUCGAAGUCUGGGAUGUCUACCUUGUCUAAACUCCCAGAACAGUGCAGAAUUUAGUGCUUUCUACCUUAAAUUCUAAUGAUAUGGAUCCUACCCCCAUAAUUUUUCAGUGUCAGACAGUAAAAUGUGGAUUAAUCUUUAGCUUAGUGUCCCAAGGGAUGGAGGAUAUUUUAAGUGAAGUGAAAACAGCCCACUUAGACCUAAUGCAGCCAGUUCUGUUGUAGUGUUAGCAUUUGUCCUUAGAAGUCAUCAAUUGGCUGAAGAAGUCAUAUGCCUUAUUUCACAACCCAGGGGUGCAGCUAAUGUCUGGCUUCAUUUUGAGGAACUAAGAGGGGACACACGGGAGGGCCUCUUCAUCUUUCUGCUUAGACUGAGUAAAAUGAAUGUGCAAAGGAACUUAUUGGCAAAAUUAUAAUGAUGACUGCUUAGAAUGCUGUUUCCUCACCAACAAAAAGAAACCUAUCCUUUCCAGGAAAAUCAUUUUUAAAUAGGGAACUUUGUGAUAACCUUUAUUGCAAUCAAUUUAUUAUAAGAAGAAAAUGGCUAUCAAAAUCCAUCAUCAAUUGUUUUAAAUUGUUUUCCCUUUCUUUUCUUUUUAGUUAACAUAAAAUAUAUUCUUAUUUUAGUUUGUUUUUCUUUUUUUUCUUUUUUUUGCUUUGGGGUUUUAAGAUUGACCACAGUGACUUAUCCCACGGAAGGCAAAACGUUUGAAAAAGUCAGUAUUUCAAAAAUCACUCAAAGAAUGUAUUUUUUCUUGGAAAUAAAGUCGAUUUUCUCAGCCCUGGUCAUAUGAGAUUAUGGGCAAGUAGUCCCUAGUCUGGCAUGUGGACAAAACAGAAGCAGACUCUGGAGAGAAAAAGUUCAAAAUCCAUGGCAGUAAGCACAUGUUCAGUAUGCCAAUAUUUAUGGUGUCAUGACCAAAUUAAAACCAUACCCUCUGCUAUUUACAUAAGUACAAUACCCAGACUACACAAGUUUAUGCCCACGUUUCUCAGUAGACUGAAGAUAAUACUAAUGUUUAGGACUCUUAGAGAUCAGACUAUUUAUUUUCAUGUUAUUCCACUCUGUGAAGGAGAGUGGAUUGUCGUCACAUUUCGAAGUCAGUCGGAGUUAGAAGACAUGGUAUUUAGCACGGGCGAAGACUGACUUUGUGAUUCUGUGUGCGGUGUGUUCCGUCAGCUGCAUCUGGAGCUCUCAGUGCCUGUGCUGGGGGGCGUUAGAUGUAUUGGCUUCUCGAGUGAAUGAGACUGCUUCUUAGAUGGAUGGGUAAUUCGCAGUCUUCCGUAUCUAGUGUUUUACUCAUGCUAUGAGAGAACCUGUUUUGAAAAAAAAAAUGGAUGCACUUACUUUGGAUGAAAAAGACAUGUUACAUGUCUUUUUGUGGCAACUUUUAAAGUUGAUAAAUUUUGAAAAAGUUUCAGAAGCAUUGUUAGGAGUACAUCUCAUUUCCCUAUAUUUACAAGACAAAGAAAUUUAGUAACUUAAAAUAUAAUAAAUAAUACUACUAUGAACUUGUGUAGCAAUAUAAGUGACACAGAUAAUACAUGAGCUACAGAGGCAUUACUGGAAAUAGAUUUUGGAGAAAAUAGCAUGUCACAUUUGCUUGCGGAUAUGACAUCUGAGUGGGGAUGCAUUUUUAAUGACCCUUUUGAGAGCACUAAUUCUUCCAGGAUUCCUUCAGUUUCUACAUUAGCUGAGAUUCUGUCAUCUGAAAAAUGACCUGGACUGGAACGGUAUGGAUCCACAUCUUUAAUAGGUUGGCAAUUUGGCUCUUUCAGGGAAUAGUCUUUGAACUUAGUAUCAACUGAAAGUUUUUCACAAUUGCUGAUGCAAUCUUUUGUGCAAGGGAGGAAGAUUUCUCAUUUGUAGGAUAAAAGAAAAAAUUAAGAAUAACUCCCAUGUGAGCAAAUCAAGCUCGAUGAUAUAAAUCUUUCUUUUAUAGUGGGAUAGAAUCUAAGGUAUUCAAGAAGUUAUUUUAUUUUUUUAGUUCCGUAAUUUAAACAUUGUGCUUAGCCUCUCUUUCAGUACUCCAAACAUUUGUUAUUAAGGUUUCCUUUGGUGCGUCCUUAAAAAGACAACAUUUAGCAUGUUUUCCUUAUAAAUUAUACUCGUCUUAAACAUAGACCAAACAGAAAACAAACUUUCCCAUUUUUGAAGACUCAUUGUUCAAUUGUUUUAUGCUCAGAAACUUAAAAAUGAUCACAGGUUUUUCUGGUCUUCCUUUGUCUUACUUUGGUGCUAAAAAAGAAAAAAAAAUCGGCCAGUUAUACUCUGGAUGUUUAAAUCUUGUGCUGAUUAAUACAAAUGCCAAGGAAACUGCCUUGGUCAUACAGGAAGAGGCUGAGGAAGACCACUGGCUGUUGCAGGUCACUAGCAGGACAGUUUCCUGGAUGUUUAGUGUUGAUGAUCUCAUCAGCCAUGUCUUAGGCAUUAAUGGAUAACGUUCCAGUACUCCCAAUAAUUUAAUGAAUAAGCAACAAUACACUUUAUUUAAAUGUUCUUGAAGAUUUUUAUUUGAAUUUCUAUAUAGUAAUAAAUAUUGAUAUCUACCUCAGUGACAUAUGACAAAUAAGUAUUACGUUCCCUAAGGAACUUGGCAGUAUAUUAUAUGUCUGUUUGUGAUAAGCAGUUUAUAAUUUAGCCUAACUUUAUCAUUAUUUUGUCACUCAAAACUCCUUAUUACUGACUAUUUCAUGACUCUUCUUAUCUUUUAUUGGAAAUAUUAUAUUUAUUUAAGUGUAUAGAGGAUGUUCAUAAAAUUGGGUAUUUGGUAAGUGCUCUAGAAAAAAGUUUUGCUUAUUUGAAAUACCCAGUAUUUUAAAAUCCAACAAAUCUACUCUUUGCCUAAAUAUUUUGUGUCUGUGUGAUAAACAGGGCAUUUUUUUGAUGUGACCAACACUUGUCAUUUCACUAUUUUAUGGCGGGGCACGGGGAUCUGAAGCAGAAGAAUAUUUCUGGGGAUGGAUUUGGGAUUUUCUUUACCGGUUUAGACAUUUCACUGUCUCUUUGCUUUUAAAAUAUAUGCUAGCAAUGGCCCAAAGUAUUUACGUGAGAAGCAAUUUUAGGGGCCUGCAUACAUUCGUGGAUUUAGGAAUGACUUACUUUGAGUCCUUGUACAAUGAAUCUGUGGUAAAUAGCAAGGAUUUUGUAUCUUUCCAACUGUAGACUGUGGAUCUCCAGGGUAAGAUUUUGGCUGAAUUGAGGAAGACCUUUCUCUGGCUAGAUUAAUAUCAUAAAACUAAGGCAGGCUCAGGAAUAGAAGCAGGGGUUGCCUUCUCUUCAUUGCACUGCACCAUUUGGGUUGUAUGUGAUAGAGUAGUAUGAUGGCUUUGGAUGUGCAUUCACUCAGGAGUCCUGGUCAACUUCUGCCCCAUGAGACAGUUUCAGAAGAACAUUGCCCUUUCAAAAGAUUGUUCAGUAAGAAAUGAAACAUUGAGAACCCUACAUUCACUAAUCACAGCUCACAUGGUUAAUAGGGACUUCAAAAUUAAAAUAAUAAUAUGUUGGUAUAGUCAAAAGCAACCAUAUAUAAAUACAGAAAUAUGUGUAUUGCAUAUUCCCUUUAAACUGUUUGUCUGUAUUGAUUGCAACAGGCAUUCAGAAAUUGAGAGAGCUAAUAAGUGAAUUUUUAAAAUUAUGAAAGUGAAAAUGUGAACUGCUGAUUUUAUUUUUUACAAUGACAUAUUAAUUGGCAUUUUGCUUUGACCUUUUUUGCCCAUUUUUAUCAAUUUUACAAUUCUGCAUUUUUCAAAAAUUUAAAGUCAUUUAGCAAUUAUAAACAUUUCAGAGACCUGUAAUUUUUUAGUGUAAAUAGUAUUUUUCCAACUCAAUACUGCUUUUCAAAUUUCCUCUUGAACUGUUGGGGAGGAGAAACAAAGCUCUUUUCUCUACCUUUUUAGGUUUGUUUACCACUGUGUGUGAAUUAAACUGACAAAGACAAAUAAGUAGGAAAAAAGACAUACAGAUUUUGUUAAUAUUUUAAAUUUUAUGUGCACAGAGCCUUCACAGAAUAUAAUGAAAAACACAAAGAAGCAACUAGACUCUGCCGCUUAUAUACCCCUUUAACAAAGGGCUGUACAUUGGGGUGAAGUGACUGGGAACUAUGUGGGGGACACAAAUGGGACAUGGGGUUCUCUUAGUAAGUUCUGUUUAUACACUCUCAUCUUGGGGCCUGCUCUCCAUCUCCAGGGACAAGGGUAGCUCUUCUCAUGCUGGUACUGGAAUUGGGGAGACAUUGAUGCCACCGUCUCAAACAGAAAUUUAUGCUAGGCUCUGAGGAAGAUAAAGGGCAGGGCAGAGAACUUUUCCUUCAUCUGUUGAUUCUCGAUUGCAUUCUUAGGCCAAAGUAGCAUAAUUUGGGUGGCAUAUUCUGGACCACGCCUUCGCAUUGGUUAUGACAUUUGACUUUUGCUAAUAGUAUAUGUAGCCUAGAAAAAAGGGUCACAGGUGAUGCUGGCGUAGUUGGGAAUGCUGGUGCUUGUGUACCUCUGAGUAAUGCCACUCUUAUUUUCUGGUGCAUGCUUGCU